GAAAUGCGAUAAGUAAUGUGAAUUACAGAAUUCAGUGAAUCAUCGAAUCUUUGAACGCACCUUGCGCUCCUUGGUAUUCCGAGGAGCAUGCCUGUUUGAGUGUCAUGGAAUUCUCAACUCUAUUUGCUUUUGUGAAUAGAGCUUGGAUUUGGAGGUUUAUUGCUGGUACUUGUGAUCGGCUCCUCUUGAAUGCAUUAGCUCGAACCUUUGCGGAUCAGCUAUCGGUGUGAUAAUUGUCUACGCCGUUGCAGUGAAGC
rnacentral:misc_RNA from 1 species